rnacentral:rRNA from 2 species
GAGGACCGGAGUGGACGCAUCACUGGUGUUCGGGUUGUCAUGCCAAUGGCACUGCCCGGUAGCUAAAUGCGGAAGAGAUAAGUGCUGAAAGCAUCUAAGCACGAAACUUGCCCCGAGAUGAGUUCUCCCUGAGACUUAGAGUCUCCUGAAGGAACGUUGAAGACGACGACGUUGAUAGGCCGGGUGUGUAAGCGCAGCGAUGCGUUGAGCUAACCGGUACUAAUGAACCGUGAGGCUUAACCUUACAACGCCGAAG